GGCGCUGUGGCGCAGCGGGAUAACGCCCUGGCCUGUAGUGCCAGCAUCCCAUAUGAGUGCGGGUUCUAGUCCCGGCUGCUCCU
rfam:Oryctolagus cuniculus chromosome 12, whole genome shotgun sequence.